rnacentral:tRNA from 1 species
GUGCUAUUAGUUAAAUGGUAUAACCUCACGCUUCCAACGUGAUAUUGCGGGUUCGAUUCCUGUAUAGCGCUCCA